rnacentral:rRNA from 1 species
UAGGGAAUAUUGGGCAAUGGAAGAGAUUCUGACCCAGCCAUGCCGCGUGCAGGAUGAAGGCUUUCUGAGUCGUAAACUGCUUUUGCCAGGGAAGAAUAAGGGGGAUGCGUCCUCCGACGACGGUACCUGGUGAAUAAGCACCGGCUAACUCCGUGCCAGCAGCCGCGGUAAUACGGAGGGUGCAAGCGUUGUCCGGAUUUAUUGGGUUUAAAGGGUGCGUAGGCGGUUCUUUAAGUCCGGGGUGAAAGCCCGUUGCUCAACAACGGAACUGCCCUGGAAACUGGCGAACUUGAGUACAGACGAGGGCGGCGGAAUGGAUGCUGUAGCGGUGAAAUGCAUAGAUAGCAUCCAGAACCCCGAUUGCGAAGGCAGCUGCCUAGACUGUAACUGACGCUGAGGCACGAAAGCGUGGGGAGCGAACAG